rnacentral:rRNA from 1 species
CCUACGGGUGGCAGCAGUGGGGAAUAUUGGACAAUGGGCGAAAGCCUGAUCCAGCCAUGCCGCGUGUGUGAAGAAGGCCUUCGGGUUGUAAAGCACUUUCAGUGGGGAAGAAAGCCUUGGGGCUAAUACCCUCGAGGAAGGACAUCACCCACAGAAGAAGCACCGGCUAACUCCGUGCCAGCAGCCGCGGUAAUACGGAGGGUGCGAGCGUUAAUCGGAAUUACUGGGCGUAAAGCGCGCGUAGGCGGUCUGAUAAGCCGGUUGUGAAAGCCCCGGGCUCAACCUGGGAACGGCAUCCGGAACUGUCAGGCUAGAGUACAGGAGAGGAAGGUAGAAUUCCCGGUGUAGCGGUGAAAUGCGUAGAGAUCGGGAGGAAUACCAGUGGCGAAGGCGGCCUUCUGGACUGACACUGACGCUGAGGUGCGAAAGCGUGGGUAGCAAACAGGAUUAGAUACCCGAGUAGUC